rnacentral:lncRNA from 10 species
AAUAAGGUAAUAAGUGUUAAUGUCAGUAUAACUUAUAAAGGGUUGCAUAAAUUUGAGGCAUUUAGUUGUUACACACUCUGUUAGUCUAGAUAACAUGUUAACAAGCAACAGACAAGCUACUUUGCAGAUUGAGUAUUCAUUUUAUGGCACGCACUGUACUAAAAACUUUAAAAAUAUGUUCUCUUCAAUUAUUACGCCAUCCUGUAUAGUAUAUAAUGUAGAGGUAGCUGACAUUUAUUCUGCAUUUACUACCUGCUUGUCCCUGUUCUAAAUGCUUUAGAUGUAUUACAUUUUCAUGUUCCUAACCACCCUAAGACGUAAGUAGAGUUAUCCUCAUUUUACAGAUGAGGAAACUGAGGUGCAGGGAGACUAAGUCACUAUCCAAGGUCAUACAACUAGUAAGUGAUAAAAUAAUAUUUGAAGGCAAGCAGUCUGUUUCUAAAGCCUAUAGUCUUACCCAUAAUAUUAUAUGACAAAGUAAUGACAGUUACAAGCAUUUAUUCUUUGAGCUCAUAGCUGUGGUUCUCACUUAAAAUUAUUAACUUAUGAGAAUAUUUCAUAAUAUAUAACAACGUUUUUGUUUAUGACAUUAUUUCCAAAGGCAAUGAAUAUAUUACUUAUUUAAAUAAAUUCUGUUGAGAAAAAUGCUACCAUUAGCACAGAGAUGACUAAUUUGCUACCAUCAAUAGGUAGCAUUCUGAAAUUGGGUCUGUAACCUGGGUUGGUAUACUUAUGCAUAUAUUUAUUAAUACAUAUGUACUCCCAUAAAGCUGGAAUGCCAUUUAAUAAUUCCUCUCUGCAGGAUGCAACAAUCAGAAGACAUAUAUACCAGUCCAAUAUCCAGAAAUAAUUAAAAUGUGAUAUUAACUCAUAACUGCUGUGGGCUUGCAUUCACAUCUAAAGCAUUUAGAGCAGGACAGAAUCUCCUGAAAUCUUCUUUUUAAGAAUUCAGGUAGUCAGAGCACUUCUCUCUCUAACCGUGUCUUCCUACUUUCCAAGAUACAUUCUCCUUCAGCCCCUAGCAGUACAAAUUAAUCUUCUCUCUUUUUGUUUUUUUUUCCAGCCUUCUGACCAACACAGCAACAGCUGCUAAAGAAAAAGCACAGUAGAAAUAAAGCAAGAGCAAGAUAUGGUAGAGUCAAAGGUGUUAUUCCUUCUGCAGGAAAUGGAGACCAAAAUGAAAGUAAAUAACUGAGGGCUCAUCAGCCCAUUCACUCAUCCAUCUGUCCACUGAGGGAUAUUUCUGAAUACAAAUACUACCUCUUUCAUUUACUUCUGAUAAGACUUACUGCACUUUAAGUAGACCCUCUAAAACUGUCUUAUUUAUCCGUACAAUAUGGGAGUUUUUACUCCUAUAUCUCAGAAUAUUGGAAAGAUUAAAUGAAGUUAUGUAUACUGAGUGCCUCUAAUAAUUCCUUUUUCUCCAGUUGGGGGACAGAGUAUAAAAACUGUGAUUCUGAUGCCAAAAUACUGAAAUUUUAGAGUACUUCCUUUGACUAUUUCUGUGACAUACAGGACAUGUAUAGGGAAUUGUGACUGUCCAGCAGGCAUGUACAGAGUGCACUGUCCCUAAACUUCAAGAAAGUCUGUAGCACAAUAUCUCUAUAGUUUGUUUGGUUGUAUUGAGAAUAUUCUUUCUUUUUUUGAGAUGGAGUUUCGCUCGUGUUGCCCAGGCUGGAGUGCAACGAUGCAAUCUCAGCUCAGUGCAACAUCCGCCUCCCAGGUUUGAGCGAUUCUUCUGCUUCGGCCUCCCAAAUAGCUGGUAUUACAGGUGUGUGCCAUCAUUCCAGGCUAAUUUUUUUGUAUUUAUUAUAAACAGGGUUUCACCAUGUUAAUCAGGCUGGUCUCGAACUCCUGACCUCAGGUGGUCCACCCGCCUUGGCUUCCCAAAGUGCUGGGAUUACAGCCGUGAGCCACUGCACCUGGCCGAGAAUAUUCUCUGUAUAUGUAUUCUUCCGCAUUUAAGAAGUUACACUAAGUCAUUUUAACUCUUUGCAGCCUUCCCCUCUCACAGAGAGGUGAGCCAGGUUUCUUCCCAAUCACUAGAACUAAUACUUCAUUGAAUCUUGACAAGGUAUUCUGCUGCACUUAGCGACCCACAAAGCAUAGUUACACCUGGGAUUUCAUCACACUACACACAUUCCAAUAUUUAUCAGAUUAUAUGAGAUUUUAAAAAAACUGUUUCCAUCUUUAAAGGGCUCUAAGGAGACAGCUGAGUUCCCUGUUCCAAAGCAAGCUAAAGCCCUCUAGCUGUGUUAAUACCUUGUGGCCCCCUCUUUCCACCACCUGGGUUCUGCUAUUUUUACUUUGGUUGGUUGAAUGAUUCCCAAGUAACCUGCCAAGGUAAAUAAGUACCAACUCUACUCAUGAAUAUUUAAGCCCAAGUGGAUAUACUGGGUAGCUUUGUGGCUAGCAUUGGAUUUCCAUAUAAACCAUAAGGAAGCUGUUGUGACUAUGGUUGAGCCGAGCCUUGAACUCUUCAACAGUGCAGUGAUCCCUAGCCAAGCUGCAGAGUCUGGAGACUGCAUUCUGUGUGCCAGGGUCCACCUGUGGUAUAAAUUGCAUGGAUCCUUUGUCACUUCCCUGUUCUGAGACUGCUGGGCUCAGACACUGCCCCAUUGUCUCUGCAGCGUCUCUGCCUCCACAACAAUAAGAGAGAAGAAACUCCUGGGCCAUUUCUCACCCCUACCUGCCACCACCUUUGUUAACAAAAACCAACAUGUCUGUUAAGGUUAUAAAUGGUUUUAUAUUUGCACCAGAAAAUUAUUUUCUUUGCUAUUAUUCUUUUCUGUUGAAUGUUUUCUUAGACGUUUUCCAGCGUUCAAUGCAGUGGUAGACAAAGAAGUAGGACAUGUAUUCAACAUCCAUUUCACCAUUUCUGCAUUUUUCUUCUAAAAUGUUAUGGUUUUUUCUUUCUAUUUAUAUUUUGUGAUGGAUGUUUGUUGUUAGCCAUCUUGACAGUAGUUGUGAUGGUUAAUUUUUUUACAUGUCGACUUGCCUGGACCAUAAUACCCAGGUAUUUGUUAAGAAAGAACUCUGGAUUUGAGGGGUCUUUUUUUUGGAUGAUUUUCUGGGAGGGUAUUUUUGAAUGAGAUUAAUAUUUAAAUUGGGGGAGUUUAAGUAUAGCAGAUUACCCUCCAUAAUGUGGGUGGGUGUUAUCCAAUUACUUGAAGUCCUAAAUAGGACAAAAAUACUGACUUCCCCUGAGCAAGAAGAAAUUCUCCUAGCAAACAUUCUUCCGACUUGAACUGCAACCUCAGUUCUUCCUGAGUCUCCAGACUACCAGCCCACUUUGCAGAUUUUGGACUUGUCAGCUUCCAUAAUUCUGUCAGUCAAUUCUUAAUAUGAAUAUCUUACUUUCUAUAUAUACAUCUUCUUGGUUCUCUUUCUCUGGAAAACCCUGACUGUUAUGGUGUGUUGGUCCAGUUGAAGGCAGAAUGUUACAUAUUUGUAGAUUUCUAGGAUCAGUAUGCUGCAAUGGUAAUGCAUUUGGACAGUUCCAUAGUCUUGAAAACAUGUCGGGUACAAAGAAACACACUUUGGAACCAGAGAGGUAGGUUUGGAACUUGUCCUGCCACUUAGCCACUUGUGCUGUAAGUUGUGACCUUAAGCUGUCUAGUCUUUCCAGGGCUCAGUCCCCACAUUUAUAAAAUGGGGAUGAUACGUGUGUUAGGCUGUUUUUGGAUCACUAUAAAGAAACGCCUGAGGCGUGGUAAUUUAUAAAGAAAAGAGGUUUAAUUAGCUCACAGUUCUGCAGUCUGUGCUGCCAGCAUCUGCUUCUGGUGAGGGCCUCAGGAAGCUUCCAAUCACUGUGGAAAAUGUGGGGGAACCAGUACAUCACAUGAUGAGAGUGGGGACAAGAGAGAGCGAAGGGGGAGGUGCCACACUCUGUUAAACAACCAGAUCUCACAGGAACUCGGAAACAAGAACUCUCAUCAACAAGGAGAUGGUGCUAAGCCAUUCAUGAGGGAGUCGCCCCUCUGAUUGCAACAUCUCCUAUCAGAUCCCACCUCCAACACUGAAAACAAAAUUUCAACAUGAGACCUGAAGGGGACAAAUAUCCAAACCAUGUCAAUAACUGUUCUCACCACUUAGGUUGUGAUGAAAAUGAAAUGAGUCAAUAAAUACUACACCCUGUAACAGCACCUAGCACCUAGUAAGCUCUCAGUAAAUGCAACCUAUGUACAAAGAGAUUGUUGCAUGAAACAGAAAGAUCUCUCAUCUACUGGAUGCUUGCUGGAUGUCUGGCACUCUGCUAAGUGCUAAUGUAUAUUUAUUCAUGUUAUCUUCAUAGCCAUUUUUUAUUUUAAUGUUGUCACUGAAAGAGAUGAAGUAAUCUGCCCUCAAUGGUGCAAUUAAUAAGGGAUAGAGCCCAAUGCUAAAGCAUUUCCAUCUUCCUCUGAAUACCAUAUACUUUUAUGACACAGUGCCUGAGCUACAUGUGCAAAAUACUUAGCCGACACAUAGCAUACAGCAGGUACUCAAUAAAUGUAAGCAUUGGUAUAAUAAUUAGUGGCCUAGGUUUUUUUUUUUCAUUUCUCCUGAGAAAAACUGUCAGUAAAUUAUGAUAAACUAUUUGCUUUCCUAAGAACAAAUAACAUGUGGUUUGACCAAGGUUUAUUGCUAUUAUUAUUAAUGUUGAUAAACAUGUUUUAUAUCAGAAAAAUUUUACCAAGUUAUAAAAAUUAAAAUACAUUAUUAUUUUUAGGGGACAAGAACAAAAGAAAAAUAUAGAAUCCAGCAAAAAUAAAUCAGUUUAAUAUGGUUUGUGCAAUUGGUAUUAUAAUCAUAAAAAUUUGAAAUACAAUGACACAAAAUAAAAGAUGGCUUUGUUCACUGUAAAUCAGAAAACAUUUAUUAUCUUCAACUCUGUAAGGACCCUGGCCUGAGUAGAAUAAGGGAGACAGGUGAACUAAAACAAAGUUGUUCACCUUGAAAACUGUUUGUAAACUAACUGAACCUUUGCCAGGGAGAAGAUCACUGAUUUCAUUGGUUCAGUAAAUUGUUGCCUGUGGUAACCAGGAAUGAUGCUCCUGUGGCAGUUUUAAGCCUGCUGUUGAUCCUCUUCCUAUUGAGGAAAAGGUCUAUGUGUUCGUUCCUGUUAUCUGGGGCAAGUUUAGUGACUAACACGCCAUCAACAGAAAGCGGUAGAAAUGGUACUGUGCGACUUCCAAGACUAGGUCAUAAAAGUAAUGCAGCUUCUGCUUGGUUCACUGAAACACUUGCUUUUGGGGCCCAAAGCCACCAUGUAAGGAGUCUCACAACUCCGAAACUGCCAUGCUGUGAAGAAACCCAGGCCACAUGGAAAGGCUGAACAUACGUGUUCCUGUCUUCAACCCCACCGAGGUCUCAGCUAACCCCAGACCUGUGCUAUGUAAAAAACUCCUCCAGGUGAUUCCAACCCCAGCCACCAGUCGUGCCGGCUAUUCCCUGCCCAUAUUCCUGACCCGUGGAAUUGUAGAACACAUUAAAUGGCUGAUUUGAGCUGCUUAGUUUGGAGUAAUUUGUUAGACAGGAGUAAGUAACCGGAUAUCACAUUUUAAAGUCCAAGAGAUCACAGGCAAUGGAGGCAGAAUGAGGUGAAGAGAACGGUGAAGUGGAAGUAAGGAUGCUCAGAGAAGAGUGCCAUAGAAUUGUGCUGCACUGCCCUCUCCCAACCACUGUGAAGCAGGUGUGAUGACUACACUCCUUCUGAGAUGUGGAAGCUGUGGGUGGAGGCUGGAACUGGCUGCUCCAGGUUGAAUAGGAAAGAAAGAAAAAGGGCCU